UCGAAGACAAGCACGACGUCGUCCGCGA
rnacentral:sRNA from 1 species